GCAUUUUCCAGAGGAAGCUGAGGGAGGAGAUUAGAAUUCCUGGAGGCUAAUCCACUGGGCUAUGGAUCUGAUGUUCAGAGUGUAGUGGUCCUCCUGGCUCCAUGCUGGUUUUCAAGGACUGAGAAUGCACAUAUGGAUAGAACAAAUCUAGAAAUUCAAGCUACUUCUAUUGCUAAACAAGUAUAGAGUUUCAUAUAAAUAUAAUUCAUAAAAGGUAUAAACGGCAAGAGUUUCUACCCAAAGAUUUUGUGAAACACCUGGCAUUCUAGCUACAGCAGCAAAUUAUGGCAUCCCUUAGCCCCUCAGAGACCUCUGUCCUCAGCAGAUGUGACCGCCUUCUUGGAUCUCAGCAGUGCAAGGGUUCAGUGUGCCAGCAUCUCUACAUCUGAGGUCUUGCUGUCUUCUGCAGGCCUUCCAGCUGCUUUGAGAGAGAAGUGACCAAAGUAUUCUCACUUUUGAAGGGAGUGAAAUAAAACCUGGACAAACCAGGUUCUCAAAUUAAAAUUCAUGGAUCUUCCUAUUUUCCCAAGAAGAGCCUGUUUUUUUUCGUAUACUCCAUUGAAGCCAUUGCUGGUGGACAAUUUUCAUAGCAUUUUCUUCUCUUUUGUUUUGAAAGGCAUUGAUUAGUAAGUAGGACAUUUCUGUUCAGCAAUUGCCCUUUGAAGUUUUAUUCAAACACAGAAUUUACUGUAAAACAGACCAGUCUUUAUUCUUUCUUUUAGUGAAAAUUAUAAACUCUUUUUAUAUAUAUAUAUAUAUAUAUAUAUUUUUAUUAUACUUUAAGUUCUAG
rnacentral:lncRNA from 10 species